rnacentral:rRNA from 1 species
AUUGAACGCUGGCGGCAGGCCUAACACAUGCAAGUCGAGCGGGGUUUUCGGACCUAGCGGCGGACGGGUGAGUAAUGCGUAGGAAGCUGCCCGAUAGAGGGGGAUACCAGUUGGAAACGACUGUUAAUACCGCAUAAUGUCUACGGACCAAAGUGUGGGACCUUCGGGCCACAUGCUAUCGGAUGCGCCUACGUGGGAUUAGCUAGUUGGUGAGGUAAUGGCUCACCAAGGCGACGAUCUCUAGCUGGUUUGAGAGGAUGAUCAGCCACACUGGAACUGAAACACGGUCCAGACUCCUACGGGAGUCAGCAGUGGGGAAUAUUGGACAAUGGGCGCAAGCCUGAUCCAGCCAUGCCGCGUGUGUGAAGAAGGCCUUCGGGUUGUAAAGCACUUUCAGCGAGGAGGAAGGGUGGUGUGUUAAUAGCACAUCAUUUUGACGUUACUCGCAGAAGAAGCACCGGCUAACUCUGUGCCAGCCGCCGCAGUAAGAC